rnacentral:tRNA from 1 species
AGGGCUGUAGCUCAGUGGUGGAGCACUUGCCUGGCAAGUAUGAGGCCCUGGGAUCAAUCCCCAGUACUA